rnacentral:rRNA from 1 species
AUUGAACGCUGGCGGCAGGCCUAACACAUGCAAGUCGAGCGGAGCGGCGGUGGGGUGAGUAAUGCCUAGGAAUCUGCCUGGUAGUGGGGGAUAACGUACGGAAACGGGCGCUAAUACCGCAUACUCUCAGAUGAGCCUAGGUCGGAUUAGCAGGUUGGUGGGGUAAAGGCCUACCAAGGCGACGAUCCGUAACUGGUCGGAGAGGAGGAUCAGUCACACUGGACCGGAGACACGGUCCAGACUCCAACGGGAGGCAGCAGUGGGGAAUAUUGGACAAUGGGCGAAAGCCUGAUCCGGCCAUGCCGCGGGUGUGAAGAAGGUCUUCGGGUUGAAAAGCACUUUAAGUGGGGAGGCGUUACCGACAGAAUAAGCACCGGCUAACUACGUGCCAGCCGCCGCGGUAAUUC